UGAUGUCUGAUUGAUGUUUUGUGCCAUUUCAACCAUUUCUGUUUUAUUUGUUUAAGAAACCAUGGAAGGGUUUACAGGAAAGAUACGACCCAGCCUCCUUUGCACAGAGCCCAGCAUUGAAGUUUGCCAUUUAUUUCUGCUGGGGACUUUGUGGAUGUUCCUGUGCCUGAGGGUGUAGCCUCUGCCAAAUUGCUAAAUGAUCGGAGUCAUUUAAUAACACUGGAAGCAGUGUGUCGUUGUAUAAAGCUGGCACCUGGCACCUUGUUUGGGGUUGAAAAAGGUGAGACACAGCUCUUCUAGCCUGCCUAUAUCCAUGGACCAUUUCCACACACGGAUAAGUGAGAGUGAAAAGAAAAAUGAGAUUUUAAAGUGGAGCAAAAACAUACUCAGGGAAAGAAAAAACUGGACUUGCAGUGAACAACAGAAUUUUGCCUGUGGACGUCCCAAGAUGGCUCCCAGUCUCCAGACGUUUGGCAGAAGAUGAAUAUUUCAGCAAGAUAACGUAUCCAAAGAAAGCACACAGACAAAUUCACACAAGAGUUUCUAAAGAAGGAAAUAGUGAAAGGUAUAGCCUGUAUUGCCAGAAUGCAUUAUGAAAGUCCUGUAUGUCGCCUGACUUGGACCAGCCCCUCCAACAGAAGAAUAGGAGAUCUCGCAAAUGUGUGAAAAGAGUGCUAUCUUCCAUGCAGAGGCGAGUUGAGUAUUGAAAAAAAAUAUCAGUAAUGCUAACAGCAAAUAACCUCAAUGUAAGUUGAUAACAUUUUGAAUCCUUUGAGGAUUUAAUGCAAUGUUCAGAGAUGUACUCGCUUGUGCUGUAUAAUGUAACUCAAACAUAAGAGUGUAGCCAAUCACCUCAACCUCACAAUUCAUUUCAAUG